GUCUAGGAUGGGAAGAGAGGGGCGCUCUAAUCCGGGAGACAGUGGAUCACACAGCCCGAAAGAGAGAGAGAGGAGAGCGAGAGAGGGGGCAUGCAUCCAGUGCUGGAUUGUGCCUGAAAUGGGUCAGAUUAAAAGACACGAACCAAAAGGAACCGAGUGACUCCUUGCGGAGAGAGAGGACCUUUCUGAAGACCAAGAUUUUUUUUCACCACUUCAAACACAAGAUCAUAAUCGUCGACAGUACCAGCGUGUAGGGAUGUGAUAGAGCAGUGUGGCCAAUAGAAGAACGUCCUGUCUUUUUUCCAGAUAUAGCCUAAUGUAAAACUAGCCUUCUGUAGUUUGUCAAUUGCAUGGGAGGAGAGAGGAGGCAUCGCGCGUUUUGUCCGAGGGCGUUGAUCAUGGACAAAUCGAGGAACUGCAUUCAAGCCAAGUUAAAUGGAACAUACAGUACUGGUCGCAGUGGGAUGUAUGACUUCAAACAAAUAGCCUUGUGAUGCGCUGCCAUCGGUUAUUUCUUCUGUUUUCCGCUCGUCUUUUUGUGUGUUGGGUCAGGGUACAGCUGUAAUUUGUGCGGUUUUGAGGAAGGACAAUGCGAGAGUGUGUAGCCUCGGCUGAUAUUCUGUGCAAGGUAACCUGCCAGGAGAUGCGUAAAGACGCAUACCCAAAAAUCCAGGGCAUAAUUGUUGACUAAUGCUAUGCUAAUGACAAAGCUUAUCAGAUGCAAGCUUUGUUUCAGAUCCACUGAUCAGGCUAUUGGCUGUUUGCUGAUGGGGUUUAUUGCCGAGCUGUGGCGCAGUGAUAUCAAUAUGUGUGCAUAGAAUCCAAAGAGACGCAGGACGAGAAUGUGCUCGCGCGCAUUAUUGCUGGUGUAGGCGAUAAAUCGGCUUGAGAUUUGAGUGUCUGCAUGCGCGCGGGCGUGUGUGUACGUGGUGUGACUGUGUGCUAAAAUCGGCUUUAGAUCUGUGCUGUGUGUGUGUGUGUGUGUGUGUGUGUGUGUGUGUGUGUGUGUGUGUGUGUGUGUGCUAUAGGUGGGCGUAAUGCGCACAUUAAUAUCAUCAAAUUAUUUCACCACAGAUCACUUACACAUCAUUGGUCAGUUUUUAGUGUUAAAUGUCCUGUUUAUUUUUGAGGUAUUUAAAUGCAUCUAUUGCAGGAUGCAGGAUGCGAAACAGGCUUAGACUAGAAAACAACUGGACUGUCGCCAAAUUGGGGUCAUGGCCUACAUCUUUAACAUAAACAUAUACUGAUAUCACUUUUAUUCUGUACGUCUAACAUUAUUUUUAAGGCAGAUGUUGUCGAAAAGCUCAUCACAGUGCGCCGGUUUGUUCGCUUUUUACUCAAAUCUGUGUAUUUUUAGGCCUAAAAUCAACAGACUUCAAUAUGAGAUUUGAUUUGUUUAAUAUAAUUUAAUAUAGAAUUUAAGAAAUGUAAAGUAUUGGGUGUUGAAUGUUAAAUGUAGACCUAUAACCUAUAGGCGCGACUUAAACCAUAGAUGCUCCAAAUGUACCUGCCAUAGCUACACACUUUGUCUGAAUCUAAACAUCAAACAUCUACUAGUGUUAAUCCAUCACUGCUGUUUUGAAUAUUUACUGUACCCACUUUCAUAUAAUGGUAAACAGGCCAACUCACUGGUCCGCAACGCCGCUGCAGAUUCAGGUGACAGUGAUCUGUGAUUCUUUUCGGAUCUAAAGGAGGCCAGCAGCUCCUCUACACACUGACUGGGGCUCAAACCUCUGGCCUACAGCAGAGUCUGACGAGCCUUCAGGACAUGAAAACUACCACUGCUCUGACGGAGACAACAUAUGGAAAUAUAAGCCAUUCAAUGCCACCUACAGGCGUCCUCUGCACAACGCAGCGUGGAGGCUGUGACCAAUACAUUUAGGCCAUAAAACAGGCUGUAAUAUUAAAAACAAUCAAUGCAAAUACAAAAGCAUUACAUAGAUAAAUAAAAUACUUAUAUCUAGACCAGCUUUUAUAAUGUAGUAAUAAAAUGUGAAUGCUUUAUGAUUCAUUACUGAAGAAUAUACAAAGCAUUUGUGUGAAAAAGGUUUGUAAAUUUUAAUAAUUCCUGCAGGUUAGAUAUUUUAACCUGUCUCUAAAUGAUUUGGAUUACUUACACAGAUUAAAACCAAUUAAUAAAUAAAUCAAAUGUAAUCACAUAACCUACUAAAAGGUCAUUUCUGCUGUAUAAAUCAGAUUAUGUCAGUGGUGACUAUUUUAUUCUAUGAAAUGGUACAUGACUGCUUCAGUCUAUAUAAAUAAAUCUGGAUUUAUAAGUAAUCUGUAUAAGUAAUAAAUAUGCAUAUGAGCAUUAUGUUGAAUAAAAAAACACCCUUUUAUGGGUUAAAUUUAGCAUUUCUAUCCACGUACGUCAUACGUCAUGAUAUUAAGAGUGUAGAGUCAGGGUGUGAUAAUGUUUGCCUAUUUUAUUUCACAGAUGGAUAUGCUUUGUAAUAAUGUGACAAUAAAUAAGUCUAUGUUGUUCUAA